UGAAGUGACUUGUUGACAAUUUUGUCAUUGUUGAAUGUUAACCUGAAAUCUGAUGUUUAUUAAAUUUAUUCAUUAAUUAUCGUACUUUGUGAGAUAGCUAUUAUUCAUAAUACUGCUAAUUCUAAUAAAAUAAUUUAUAAGCAGUAAUGGGUCAUAAGCAUAUUUAAAAAAUCGUGUUCACGGUGUUCAGCAUGCAUGUCGUGGUGUUGAAGUUUCGCGGUAUGAUCAGACUAUAUCAAAAUGCUCUUGUCCGGCGACCGUAUUUAAUGCAAGCUAUCCAAAGUGGAGCUUUAAUGGGAGCCGGCGACUUGAUAUCACAGACAUUAAUAGAAAAAAAACCAUUAAAGGACCUCGAUUACAAGAGAACAUGUCAGUUUGCAUCUAUAGGCCUUUUUGUCGGUGGGCCUGCACUUCGGAUCUGGUACGGAGUGCUACAAAAGUACAUUGGUAAACAGGGCAAAGCUGUUGCUCUUAAGAAAGUAUUUAUUGACCAAGCUAUAUUUGCCCCAACAUUCCUCUUCAUGAUCCUUGCCACAGUGGGCACUAUGCAGGGCAAGAACUGGGACACUGUGCAAACUGAUAUGAAGGCUAACUAUGUUGAUGUGUUAAAGACCAAUUAUUUGAUUUGGCCGUGGGUGCAACUUGUAAAUUUUUAUUAUGUGCCAUUGCAAUACCAAGUACUUAUCGUCCAGGCUGUUGCAUUGUUUUGGAAUACAUAUUUGUCAUGGAAGACCAACAGACAACAAUAAGGAAGUCAUGUGUACAUAGGUAUCUACCGUACUGGCAAAUAAAUAAACUUAAUUAUAUUAGGUACAUACUUCCUGCCUUCCUGCCUAGGCAAGAAGAUAAAUAUUACAACAAAUGUUUAUAAGUAUUGUUACUAAAUAAUAUCUAAUAUCUCCUUGUAAGGCCCACCAUACAGAAUUUUCCUAUUUUUAGUCUGUCCGUCUGUCACCAGGAUGUAUCUCAUGAACUGUGAUAGCUAGACAGUUGAAAUUUUUACAGAUGAUGUAUUUCUGUUGCCGCUAUAACAACAAAUACUAAGAACAGAAUAAUAUUAAUAUUUAAAUGGGGCUCCCAUAGGCAAGCGUGAUUUUUUUGCUGUUUUUUUCCGUAAUGGUACGGAACCCUACGUGCGCGAGUCCGACUCGCACUUGGCCGGUUUUUAUUAAUUAGAACCUAAUGGUAUAGUAAUUUGGAAUGAAUUUCGUUUGUUUGAGAAAGCAAUGGAACAAAAGAAAAGCCACUUUUUUUUAUUUGUAAUAAAAUCCUUGCAAGCUUACAGUAGUCUUCUCCGAGACCACGGGGACAACGCCGUCCUCGAAACGUCGGAGGCUCGGAGGUAAAUUUAAAACUUAUUUUACGCGAUUAAGUCCCGUCGUUGUGAAUAAUAAUGAGUAAAAAUCGUGAAAGUUUAAAUCAGUGUGUUGAGUUACAUUACAGUUGAUCCCAAAACCCUCACAAGAUUAGACAAGAAGACUUCAUUUGUAUUAUGAAAGCUUCUUAUUAAUUUGAAACAGGUGUACAUUGUAAUGCACAUCGGACCUUACAACGAUUGUUCAGCAAUUUAUGGCCUGGAAAAUUCAAUUAAAAUACAAAAAACCAAAAUUGUCUUUACUAAUUAGAAAUUGUAACAUUGAUGGUUUUUGUGUAACAUAUUUAUGACUUUGAAGUUUAACCCUUCAAGGUUCAGACCCGAUUUUAUUAUUUAAUGUAAUUUAUAUAAUAUCAAUGGUCUAGAGUCUAGAGUCUAGACCACAAUCAUAUUACAUGAUAUACAAUGUGUUCGGACAGCUAUGCUGUCGCCGUUAAUCAGGUACGAAUAUGAUGAUGAAUAUUAUUGACAAAUCACCCCUAUUUUUAUUCUCAACCAUUUUUAAAUUGCAUCUCUUUAAGCAUGGUAUAGGUAUUAAACAUUAUCUGUCCAAAUAUCGGUCGCACAUUAUAACAGGUGUCAUUCGGUAGUUUAAGAACUAGGGCAUAAAUGUCAUUAUUGAACUACGUAUUUAUAAGACUAAUGUAUUUUUUUAAGAAAUCGGGACUGUGGCGUAGGGUUAGAACCGGUGGUAGUUUUUUGACAUUCAUAAGUGCAUUGAUAUACUUAUGCUUAAAUUGAAGAAUAAAGACUUUCAAUUUCAUUACAAAAUGUUACAGAAAAGUUACCACAACUUUGUCCUGACACAUUGUAUAGCCAAGUAUUAUACAAAGUAUGUGUUCGUAAAUAUAAUACAUUAGGGUAAUCUACCAUAUCGUUGGCACCAUACCAAUUGCCACCUUCAACAGUAAAGCAGCAUUUACAAAUUUUUCACAAAAAACAUGGCAAUAACCGGUUCUUAUCAGUCCUAAUACUCCUAAUCAUUGGGCAGUUUACUAUGUUUGUGUGCUUGGCCAAUUUUAUGAUUAUGAUAUUAUGACAACACGCAGAUUGUAUUGAUGUAAUGAUUUAUUUUAUUGGAAAUAAGUAACCAGAUUGGAGUAAUAGUGGUUGCUUUUAAUGUUUUGAUACUAAUAAAUAAUAAUUAAACGUUGUGAGACUUGUGAGUCUUCACUAGACUUAUAUUGACCGGGAUAUGAACCGUGAUUACCUUUUGUAUUGUAAGUCUAGUGAAACUAACCGUGAAUCAUUCAAAACAAAACUCUGAGUCUUGUCACCAAAUUGACAAAAAUAACCCAAAGGAACUCCGAUACCUAUAUAAUGUAGAUUUAGAACCAGUCUUAGGAGGCCGGUGUCGAUUUUAGUCGCAAAAAUGUAAAAUUGAUAGAUUUAGUCCGUGAAAUUUUACACCUUUUGUUACCUCAUUGAAAUAACAAAUAUUGGUUUCUAUUCGCACGUCUUCUUAUCUUACCUUUUAUCAGAUCAAUUUUUUGAAAACAGACUCAUUAAAUCAGUAAUGUUUGCUUUUCUGAUGGACGUUUAGGUAAACGCGCGUAAAGCACUGAUUUUGUCGCUCUUAUUUGUAAAUUUUGUAAAGUUUGGACUGCUAAACAUGGUAAUUUUGUAUUACACAUAUCCUGUACUUGACGUUUAUCAGACUACAUUUUUAUUAUUAUGACUUUGAAGUAGUGUAAAUGAAAGUUAGACGAAAUCAAUUUUCUCCAGAAAUUACUUCAAAACAAGUGACAAUUUCUCUGAAAAUCGACUUAAUUUCAUCUUAAUUUUGAUACUGAAACAAUCUACAGCAUUUGCUGAAAGUAUUCUCAUACAUCAAUUUGUAUAAUUUACCACCAUGAUUUUUUUAAGAAUUUUUAAAAACUGCCCCUUCUCAUGCAUUACCGGUGACGCACGCUCGCGACCUCAUUAUUAAAAGCCAAGAUAAGAAGACGUGCUAAUAGAAAUCAAUACUUGUUAUUUAGAUAUUACGUAACAAAACGUGUAUAAUUUCAACGACUAAAUCUAUCAAUUUUACAUUUUUGCUCCAAAAUCGACUACGGCCUCUUAGGUUAUGUAGGUACAAUUUUUAAUAAGUCUACACUGCACUAUUACAGUAAAUACCACAACUUUACCAAAAUAAAAUAAAAAUAAAACAAACCUUGCAACUAUGGCAUGCGGUUUUUCAUACAGCGCUUAGCCUGCCCGCAAUGUAUCGGAAAGCAUGUGAUUUGUUGCAAGUUUUGUAGAGACUAAGGACUCGGUGCGACAUCAUUACUGCUAUCUGAUUGGCAAAAGAAGGAUCGCGCUCAUCUGCUUCGGCGACUCUUCACCAAUCAGGAAGAAGUACUCUGCACUGCUAUGUAGAUUGUAUUGUAGGUUUCGGCAAACCAUUAAGAAAUCUCUGAGCUGUUAUUAUGAAUUUGAAUCGUUAAGGAUCGGUUGCACCAAACCAUCUGUUACCGUUAAAAUGUUAUUUUUGAUUGUAUGGGAAGUUUCAUAGUUCUCUGCUGAGUGACGUUGAUCGGUGGGUUAUUCCCACUAUUUACCACCAAGUUAUUACUGAGAUUUUUUUUACCACUGGUAAUAGGUGGGUUUUUUUUCCAGUAGUUACCACCAAAAUUUUGUUAAAGUUCAAUACUAAUAAAACAGUAUAAAUACAGGGUGUUUUUUUAUAGUCACCUGCAAUAAUUUACGGGGUGAAUAUGUAGGUCAUACUGAACAACUUUUACUAUGUACCUAACCAAUAAUAUCGAAAUCGCGAAAAAUAGUUAUUUGUGCAACAAGAGAGGAAAGUUGGUUUUUCUUGCGAGUGUUUAUUUUGAGUCCCGAGAAAGCGAAAGAUUCUAAGGUAGAAUCUUGAGCGUAGCGAGGGACUCAAAAACACGAGAUGUAAAAUAACGAUGCUCUCGUGUUGCACACAUAAUUUUUCACCUCAGUAGUGAGAACAUAUUAAAGGUUAAAAUGUAUUUCGAAUUACACAGAAUAAACAGAGAAAAAAGUAUUAUAAUAUGUACGAUACGAUACGAUACUAGACGAGACCGGACCGGACCGUACCGUACCGUAGUAUGAAGUUCAUGGCCUUCACUAAAUUAAAAAGCUACAUUGUUUCACUCCCUGGAGUGAGGAAAGUCGCACUUUCCUCACUCCAGGGAGUGACGAAAGUAGGCUUGUUCGAGCUGCUGAGGUGAAAAAAACAUUACUCAUAUAAAUAUCGACAUCAGACCAGCCAAAUUGUAUGACACAGUCAAUUUUUUUAAAUUUAUAAAUUGAUUAGUGUUUAAUUUCAGUAAACUGCCGUGAAAGUGAUCAAAAUUCUAAAACACCUCACUUUUAAGGCAGUUUACUGAAACACUAAUCGACUUAUAAUUAUUUAUUAAAGCACAAUACAAGUUAUUCUGUUUUUAUUAGUAAUGAACAAAAUUUUGGUGGUAACUACUGGGAAUUAUUUUUCCUAGUAGUUACCAGUGGUAAAAGUUGGGGGAAAAAAUACCAGUGGUUACUAGUGGGAAUACCUAUAGAGAUAAGAUAAGACGGUAAAAGUGCUUGUUAAACGGGCUUGUUUCUUUUCAUAUAGAACGAAAAUCGUCAUUUCGGUAGCCAACCGUACUGUUUAAAAGAACAGUAUAUGCCUUUGUUUAACAAAUAAGUAAGAGUCGGUCGAAGCCCGAAAAACAAGAGUUUAGUAUAGUUCUACUGUACUAGAAUUUACGGUUCUACUAUAGUUUCGUGACCUUGAUUAGCACAAACUUUAAUUAGUUAUUUCAUUCAAAAUUUUUGCAGUGUUUUUAUGAAUAAAUGAUU